rnacentral:rRNA from 1 species
CUGGCGGCAUGCUUUACACAUGCAAGUCGAACGGCAGCACGAAAGAGCUUGCUCUUUUGGUGGCGAGUGGCGAACGGGUGAGUAAUACAUUGGAACGUACCGAGUAAUGGGGGAUAACUGUCCGAAAGGAUGGCUAAUACCGCAUACGCUCUGAGGAGGAAAGCGGGGGACCUUCGGGCCUCGCGUUAUUCGAGCGGCCAAUGUCUGAUUAGCUAGUUGGUGGGGUAAAGGCCUACCAAGGCGACGAUCAGUAGUGGGUCUGAGAGGAUGAUCCGCCACACUGGGACUGAGACACGGCCCAGACUCCUACGGGAGGCAGCAGUGGGGAAUUUUGGACAAUGGGCGAAAGCCUGAUCCAGCCAUGCCGCGUGUCUGAAGAAGGCCUUCGGGUUGUAAAGGACUUUUGUCAGGGAAGAAAGGGUUUGGGUUAAUACCCUGAGCUUAUGA